ensembl:miRNA Mir1946a microRNA 1946a
AACUUAAAGAAAUCUAUAGCCGGGCAGUGGUGGCACACGCUUUUAAUCCCAACACUUGGGAGGCACAGGCAGGCAGAUUUCUGAUCAAAGGCAUGCGUCACCACUCUCAGCUUUCUCCUCUCCUUUUUUUGUUAA